UACGUAGGUGGCGAGCGUUGUCCGGAUUUAUUGGGCGUAAAGCGCGUGCAGGUGGUGUCCUAAGUCCGGUGUGAAAUCUCCCGGCUCACCUGGGAGGGGGCGCUGGAGACUGGGGUACUGGAGGCAGGCAGAGGGCGGUGGAAUUCCCGGUGUAGUGGUGAAAUGCGUAGAUAUGUGGAGGAACACCGAUGGCGAAGGCAGCCCCCUGGGAUAACACUGACGCUCAUGCACGAAAGCGUGGGGAGCAAACAGG
rnacentral:rRNA from 1 species